GAUGAGAUUCAAUUUAAGUGGGGUAGGUUUGUAACAUCCGUAAAAAUCACCAACUUAAAUCACCCGCUAAAAUUUAUUUUCAAAAUCUUUUGACCAUUGACCUCCUGAAAAUCCCGUCUUCCCGGCAAUUUCACCAUCCCAGCACCCAAAGGCGACAACCAUCAUUUUUAUCAUCUCCACAAAUUUUGCUGUGUGCCAAUCGAAAAACCGCCGCACGUGCUCCGACCAUUUUCC
rnacentral:lncRNA from 1 species